CCUACGUGAGGCAGCAGUGAGGAAUAUUGGUCAAUGGGCUUACGCCUGAACCAGCCAAGUCGCGUGAGGGAAGACUGCCCUAUGGGUUGUAAACCUCUUUUGUCAGGGAGCAACGCCGGCUACGUGUAGCCGGACUGAGAGUACCUGCAGAAAAAGCAUCGGCUAACUCCGUGCCAGCAGCCGCGGUAAUACGGAGGAUGCGAGCGUUAUCCGGAUUUAUUGGGUUUAAAGGGUGCGUAGGCGGAAUGCCAAGUCAGCGGUAAAAUCGCGGGGCUCAACCUCGCUCCGCCGUUGAAACUGGCGUUCUGGAGUGGGCGAGAAGUAGGCGGAAGGCGUGGUGUAGCGGUGAAAUGCAUAGAUAUCACGCAGAACUCCGAUUGCGAAGGCAGCAUACCGGCGCCCAACUGACGCUGAAGCACGAAAGCGUGGGUAUCGAACAGGAUUAGAUACCCGAGUAGUC
rnacentral:rRNA from 1 species